CGGAGAAUUAGGGUUCGAUUCCGGAGAGGGAGCCUGAGAAACGGCUACCACAUCUACGGAAGGCAGCAGGCGCGAAAAUUGCCCAAUCCUGAUUCAGGGAGGCAGUGACAAGAAAUAACAACUCUCAACAUUGUUGAGAAGUGUAAUGAGGAUAAUUUACAAACCUUACCGAAAGCAAUUGGAGGGCAAGUCUGGUGCCAGCAGCCGCGGUAAUUCCAGCUCCAAAAGCGUAUAUUAAAGUUGUUGCAGUUAAAAAGCUCGUAGUUGAAGUUCUGGCUGUAUUGGGCCUCUGCACUUGAUGCGAAGGAACCAGCAGUCAUCCGCUUGCAAAUACAUGUUCUUCCUUAACCGGUAGACUGUAUAAGUAAGCAAUUUACCUUGAGAAAAAACAGAGUGUUCCAGGCAGGUUUGUCCGGAAUGCAUUAGCAUGGAAUAAUAGAAUAUGACUAGAGUCGAUUUGUUGGUUAAAGGCUUUAGUAAUGAUUAAUAGGACAAUCGGGGCAUUGGUACUCGUCAGUC
rnacentral:rRNA from 1 species